AACAAGGCGUACCUGCGGACCUGCGGAGGGAUCAUUACCGAGUGUGAACCCCCCCGUAAAAAAGAGGGGUUACCUCCCGUCCUUUGCUGGGAACCCCUUUCCAACUUGGAAGGAGGUUGUUUUCAGACCCUUCUGCUUCGGUGGGGUAACCCACCGGAACAACCUCAAAAAUAUUCUCAAUUCAAAACCGUUCAGUCCGAGAACUUUUUUGAAAAGCGAAAAAACUUUCAACAAUGGAUC
rnacentral:misc_RNA from 1 species